GUAUUCUUAUGGAGUUAAUAUACAUUUUCUCCUCAGAUAGAAGCGUUAAUCACAAUUAUGCGAAGAACUUAGCUCCACUCUGUUGGUACAGAACUGAACGAAGCCUGAGAUGAGUAUUUGGUGCAUUCCAGAAGAUAGACCAAGACUUGCUUG
rnacentral:lncRNA from 1 species